rnacentral:rRNA from 1 species
GAUGAACGCUGGCGGCGUGCCUAAUACAUGCAAGUCGAGCGAACGGACGAGAAGCUUGCUUCUCUGAUGUUAGCGGCGGACGGGUGAGUAACACGUGGAUAACCUACCUAUAAGACUGGGAUAACUUCGGGAAACCGGAGCUAAUACCGGAUGAUCUUUUGAACCGCAUGGUUCAAAAGUGAAAGACGGUCUUGCUGUCACUUAUAGAUGGAUCCGCGCUGCAUUAGCUAGUUGGUAAGGUAACGGCUUACCAAGGCAACGAUGCAUAGCCGACCUGAGAGGGUGGUCGGCCACACUGGAACUGAAACACGGUCAAGGGUCCUGCGGGAGGCAGCAGUAGGGAAUCUUCCGCAAUGGGCGAAAGCCUGACGCAGCAACGCCGCGUGAGUGAUGAAGGCCUUCGGAUCGUAAAACUCUGUUAUUGGGGAAGAACAGAUGUGUAAGUAACUGUACACAUCUUGACGGUAACUAGUCAGAAAGCCACGGCUAACUACGUG